rnacentral:rRNA from 1 species
UACGGAGGGUGCAAGCGUUAUCCGGAUUCACUGGGUUUAAAGGGUGCGUAGGCGGGCAGGUAAGUCCGUGGUGAAAUCUCUGAGCUUAACUCAGAAACUGCCAUGGAUACUAUUUGUCUUGAAUGUUGUGGAGGUAAGCGGAAUAUGUCAUGUAGCGGUGAAAUGCUUAGAUAUGAUAUAGAACACCAAUUGCGAAGGCAGCUUACUACACAAAUAUUGACGCUGAGGCACGAAAGCGUGGGGAUCAAACAGG